GCCCCGCUGGCGCAAUCCGGUAGCGCAUUGGACUUCUAUUAAGGAUGUAGUUAUCCAAAGGCUGUGGGUUCGAGCCCCACGCGGGGUG